rnacentral:rRNA from 1 species
CGAGUUGAAAAACUCCCAAACCCUUGUGAACAUACCUAACGUUGCUUCGGCGGUGCGGCCCUAGGCCGCUGCCUCCUCGUGAGGCGCCCGCCGGAGGUUUACAAACUCUAUGUAUUAUAUUGUUUUCUCUGAGUUGUCUUUUAAAUAAGUCAAAACUUUCAACAACGGAUCUCUUGGUUCUGGCAUCGAUGAAGAACGCAGCGAAAUGCGAUAAGUAAUGUGAAUUGCAGAAUUCAGUGAAUCAUCGAAUCUUUGAACGCACAUUGCGCCCGCUAGUAUUCUAGCGGGCAUGCCUGUUCGAGCGUCAUUUCAACCCUCAAGCACUGCUUGGUGUUGGGGCCCUACAGCUUCUGUAGGCCCUGAAAACUAGUGGCGGGCUCGCUAUAACUCCGAGCGUAGUAGUAAUAUCUCGCUUAGGACGUGAUGGCGGGAUCCGGCCGUUAAACCCCCCAAUUUUCUGAAUGUUGACCUCGGAUCAGGUAGGAAUACCCGCUGAACUUAAGCAUAUCAAUAAGCGGAGGAAAAGAAACCAACAGGGAUUGCCCUAGUAACGGCGAGUGAAGCGGCAACAGCUCAAAUUUGAAAUCUGGCUUCGGCCCGAGUUGUAAUUUGUAGAGGAUGCUUUUGGCGCGGUGCCUUCUGAGUUCCCUGGAACGGGACGCCAUAGAGGGUGAGAGCCCCGUAUAGUUGGACACCAAGCCUUUGUAAAGCUCCUUCGACGAGUCGAGUAGUUUGGGAAUGCUGCUCAAAAUGGGAGGUAAAUUUCUUCUAAAGCUAAAUACCGGCCAGAGACCGAUAGCGCACAAGUAGAGUGAUCGAAAGAUGAAAAGCACUUUGAAAAGAGGGUUAAAUAGCACGUGAAAUUGUUGAAAGGGAAGCGCUUAUGACCAGACUUGUUCCCGGUUGAUCAUCCAGUGUUCUCACUGGUGCACUCUGCCGGGGUCAGGCCAGCGUCGGUUCUCGCAGGGGGAUAAAAGCUUCGGGAACGUAGCUCCUCCGGGAGUGUUAUAGCCCGUUGCACAAUACCCUUGUGGGGACCGAGGUACGCGCUCUGCAAGGACGCUGGCGUAAUGGUCAUCAGCGACCCGUCUUGAAACACGGACCAAGGAGUCGAGGUUUUGCGCGAGUGUUUGGGUGUAAAACCCGCACGCGUAAUGAAAGUGAACGUAGGUGAGAGCUUCGGCGCAUCAUCGACCGAUCCUGAUGUAUUCGGAUGGAUUUGAGUAAGAGCGUAUAGCCUCGGACCCGAAAGAUGGUGAACUAUGCCUGUAUAGGGUGAAGCCAGAGGAAACUCUGGUGGAGGCUCGCAGCGGUUCUGACGUGCAAAUCGAUCGUCAAAUAUGGGCAUGGGGGCGAAAGACUAAUCGAACCAUCUAGUAGCUGGUUACCGCCGAAGUUUCCCUCAGGAUAGCAGUGUUGUCUUCAGUUUUAUGAGGUAAAGCGAAUGAUUAGGGACUCGGGGGCGCUUUUUAGCCUUCAUCCAUUCUCAAACUUUAAAUAUGUAAGAAGCCCUUGUUACUUAAUUGAACGUGGGCAUUCGAAUGUACCAACACUAGUGGGCCAUUUUUGGUAAGCAGAACUGGCGAUGCGGGAUGAACGAACGCGGGGUAAGGUGCCGGAGUGGACGUCAUCAGACCCACAAAAGGGUUAGUCAUCUUGACGCAGGACGUGGCCAUGGAAUCGGAUCCGCUAAGGAUGUGUAACACUCACCUGCCAAAUGACUAGCCCUGAAAUGGAGGGGGUCAAGGUCCACCAUACCCCGCCUUAGGGAAAACAUGCCUAAGAAAGGGGCCUGGAGUCUUGAAAACCAGGGUGACCGGCACCUAGU